AGUUGUCUAGAAGAUAUGAAAGUCUUUAUGUUAUAAAACCGACUGAAUUUUAUAAGGGAGUCAGGAACGAUUAAUCUGUGUUGAAUACUUAGUGUGAGUUCCUAAGGAUCCUAAGGAUUAAGUAUGGACACCCACCUGCGUAGCGCGGGUUUUAGUAAACUGGCUUUCGAUUUUCUGGAUUUUUU
rnacentral:other from 1 species